UUGAAUAGACUUUGUUCAAAAGUUUUUUUCAUAUUCCCUGUUUAUAUUAAAUACGUUCCUUCCACUGGACAGGUCUUUAAGGACCCUCUAGCUUAAGCAAAUGCUUUUGCUGGGGAGCUUGCCAGUGGCGUUUCUAAAAAACAUAAACUUUUUGUUAUUAUGAAAUGUCUGAAUAUAUUUUUAAAUUAAAUA
rnacentral:misc_RNA from 1 species